CUUAGAGAAAGAAAAUUUCCUAAACCUUACCCGACUAGGUGGAAUUGUAUGUACGAAAGUUAGUAGUUGCGUAUGAAUAUAGAAACCCAAUUAAUGCAAUAUUUAAUUGUCGGGUAAGUGGUGAGGAUGAUGAUGAAAUGCUUACUAACAAAGAUUGGACGAAUGUUAAAAUUCUUUUAGAUUUUUUAGAACAUUUUCAAGUUGCUACAAA
rnacentral:lncRNA from 1 species